AGCUUUGCGCAGUGGCAGUAUCGUAGCCUAUGAGGUCUAUCCGAGGCGUGAUUAUUGCUAGUUGAAAACUUUACCCAAUACCCUGCCUUGACGACUUGAAAUAUAGUCGGCAACGGCAAUUUUUGACAGUCUCUAAGGAGA
ensembl:snRNA U4 U4 spliceosomal RNA